ACCACUUGCACGUCUGACAGUAAUUACCGUAUAGUGGCAGCAUUGCAUGGGGAAGGGGGUGAAAAUCCUCCACUGUGCCGCAACGGUAAUCCUGCACAUUUUGUGCCGGUAAGUCCGGAUACCAUGCAGUCAUAUUUGUUAACCU
rnacentral:ncRNA from 2 species